rnacentral:lncRNA from 1 species
CUUGGCUUUGAAAGAGGGGUGGGAUUUGGAGAAUCUUUGAGUCCUUCCUGGAUUGGGCUUUUGAAGGGAGGGUUUGGAAUCACCAGACCAGUGGACUUUGUCUCUAGUUUUGUGAUCUCAAGCAAAUUGCUUAACUUCUCUGGGCUUCCACUUUCUUCUCUGUAAAGACGCAGAGAACUACUUCCUAGGGCAUCAGGAGGCAGUAGAAUGUGUACAAUCCUUAGAGCAGUUCUGGAAACACUGACAAACUGAGCACCAUGGCCAUUAUUACCUCCAGACACCCCAAUGCGGUUGUCGUCACAUGUCUGUGGACUGAAUGAUCUGACAGAAGGGAAGGCGGUACCCGGAAGGACAAAGAAGCCCAGUAUUUUGCAGGAGGCACCCGAGGACAGCCUGAAUUCUCUUGUGUUGAGUGAAGAGGGAUAAUUCUUCUGGCUCAAAAAUAGCACAACAGAGACAGCCAUUAGGUGACAAGUCUCAUGAGAUCCUUUCACUGGCUUCCCUGUCUGGAAAAGCCACCAGCUGCUAAUGCUAUAGUCAGGAGUCAUUCUACAUAACCACACCUAACGAAGUGAUUCUUGAU